rnacentral:rRNA from 1 species
UACGAAGGGGGGCUAGCGUUGCUCGGAAUCACUGGGCGUAAAGCGCGCGUAGGCGGCUUUGUAAGUUAGAGGUGAAAAGCCCCGGAGCUCAACUCCGGAACUGCCUUUAAAAACUGCAUCGCUUGAAUCCGGGAGAGGUGAGUGGAAUUCCGAGUGUAGAGGUGAAAUUCGUAGAUAUUCGGAAGAACACCAGUGGCGAAGGCGGCUCACUGGACCGGUAUUGACGCUGAGGUGCGAAAGCGUGGGGAGCAAACAGG